rnacentral:rRNA from 1 species
GUGGAUUAGAUACCCGGGUAGUCCAUGCCGUAAACGUUGGGCACUAGGUGUGGGGCUCAUUCCACGAGUUCUGUGCCGCAGCAAACGCAUUAAGUGCCCCGCCUGGGGAGUACGGCCGCAAGGCUAAAACUCAAAGGAAUUGACGGGGGCCCGCACAAGCGGCGGAGCAUGCGGAUUAAUUCGAUGCAACGCGAAGAACCUUACCAAGGCUUGACAUAUACCGAAAACUCAUGGAGACAUGGGGUCCGCAAGGGCGGUAUACAGGUGGUGCACGGCCGUCGCCAGCU